rnacentral:rRNA from 1 species
ACUCCUACGGGAGGCAGCAGUAAGGAAUAUUGGGCAAUGGACGCAAGUCUGACCCAGCCAUGCCGCGUGAAGGAUGAAGGUCCUCUGGAUUGUAAACUUCUUUUAUCUGGGGCGAAAACAACUCUUUCUAGAGUUCUUGACAGUACCAGAGGAAUAAGCACCGGCUAACUCCGUGCCAGCAGCCGCGGUAAU